AGACGCCAUUUUGGCCCCAGCGGUGCUUCUAGGAAGUAGAGCGCCGGCUCGCAUGCCUGCCCGCCCGCCAGCCUGCCGGAUGAUGGUGGUGCUACCCCAGUACAGGAUGAACGGGAUUCAGGGUCAGACGGUGAGGAUGAUGUAAAUGAGCAACACUCCGGAUCAGACACUGGAAGUGUAGAACGUCAUUCAGAGAAUGAAACUAGUGAUCGAGAAGAUGGCCUCCCCAAAGGACAUCAUGUGACAGACUCUGAGAAUGAUGAGCCCUUAAAUCUUAAUGCUAGUGACUCUGAAAGUGAGGAGCUUCACAGGCAAAAGGACAGUGACUCUGAAUCUGAGGAACGUGCAGAGCCUCCUGCAAGCGAUUCUGAAAAUGAGGAUGUCAAUCAGCAUGGGAGCGACUCUGAGAGUGAAGAGACCAGGAAAUUACCUGGUAGUGACUCUGAAAAUGAGGAACUUCUUAAUGGGCAUGCAAGUGACUCAGAAAACGAAGAUGUUGAGAAGCAUCCCGCCAGUGAUUCUGAGAUUGAGGAGCUCCAGAAGAGUCCUGCUAGUGACUCUGAAACAGAAGAUGCUCUAAAACCUCAAAUCAGUGACU
rnacentral:sRNA from 1 species